AUACAUCUAGAUCCAUACCCCUAAACUCCCUAGAUGCUAGGAUAGCUUGGACGCCGAGCUAUCCCUUUUUU
rnacentral:sRNA from 1 species